CAUUGAGAAGCUAUAGGGACAGCAACAGCCUUUUAAGCUGUAGACAGGUGACUUCCAACCACCCUUAAUGA
rnacentral:tRNA from 1 species